AACGAACGCUGGCGGCAUGCCUAACACAUGCAAGUCGAACGAGACCUUCGGGUCUGGUGGCGCACGGGUGCGUAACGCGUGGGAACCUGCCCUUAGGUUCGGAAUAACUCCCCGAAAGGGGUGCUAAUACCGGGUAAUGUCUUCGGACCAAAGAUUUGUCGCCUUUGGAUGGGCCCGCGUUGGAUUAGCUUGUUGGUAGGGUAAAAGCCUACCAAGGCUACGAUCCAUAGCUGGUCUGAGAGGAUGAUCAGCCACACUGGGACUGAGACACGGCCCAGACUCCUACGGGAGGCAGCAGUGGGGAAUAUUGGACAACGGGGGAAAGCAUGAUCCAGCAAUGCCGCGUGAGUGAUGAAGGCCUUAGGGAUGUAAAGCUCUUUUACCCGGGAUGAUAAUGACAGUACCGGGAGAAUAAGCUCCGGCUAACUCCGUG
rnacentral:rRNA from 1 species